GAUGAACGCUGGCGGCGUGCCUAAUACACGCAAGUCGAGCGAACAGACGAGGAGCUUGCUCCUCUGACGUUAGCGGCGGACGGGUGAGUAACACGUGGAUAACCUACCUAUAAGACUGGGAUAACUUCGGGAAACCGGAGCUAAUACCGGAUAAUAUAUUGAACCGCAUGGUUCAAUAGUGAAAGACGGUUUUGCUGUCACUUAUAGAUGGAUCCGCGCCGCAUUAGCUAGUUGGUAAGGUAACGGCUUACCAAGGCAACGAUGCGUAGCCGAACUGAGAGGGUGAUCGGCCACACUGGAACUGAGACACGGUCCAGACUCCUACGGGAGGCAGCAGUAGGGAAUCUUCCGCAAUGGGCGAAAGCCUGACGGAGCAACGCCGCGUGAGUGAUGAAGGUCUUCGGAUCGUAAAACUCUGUUAUUAGGGAAGAACAAAUGUGUAAGUAACUAUGCACGUCUUGACGGUACCUAAUCAGAAAGCCACGGCUAACUACGUG
rnacentral:rRNA from 1 species